GAUGAACGCUGGCGGCGUGCCUAAUACAUGCAAGUCGAGCGAACAGACGAGGAGCUUGCUCCUCUGACGUUAGCGGCGGACGGGUGAGUAACACGUGGAUAACCUACCUAUAAGACUGGGAUAACUUCGGGAAACCGGAGCUAAUACCGGAUAAUAUAUUGAACCGCAUGGUUCAAUAGUGAAAGACGGUUUUGCUGUCACUUAUAGAUGGAUCCGCGCCGCAUUAGCUAGUUGGUAAGGUAACGGCUUACCAAGGCAACGAUGCGUAGCCGACCUGAGAGGGUGAUCGGCCACACUGGAGCUGAGACACGGUCCAGACUCCUACGAGAGGCAGCAGUAGGGAAUCUUCCGCAAUGGGCGAAAGCUUGACGGAGCAACGCCGCGUGAGUGAUGAAGGUCUUCGGAUCGUAAAACUCUGUUAUUAGGAAAGAACAAAUGUGUAAGUAACUAUGCACGUCUUGACGGUACCUAAUCAGAAAGCCACGGCUAACUACGUG
rnacentral:rRNA from 1 species